AAUCAUGCAAACAUGCCUCAAAUUGCAUCCAAAACAUGCUAACUUAUAACUAAACUUAUACCAACAUAUUUGACAUAUCGAAGUAUACUCAAAACAUGGUGGGGAAAAUUUUGAGAUAUGGCACCUAAGUCUCGAGAAAUAACAUAUGAGUUUCAAGACAUAGGAUCAUGUAUCGAUACACUGGCCCUAAGUAUCGAGACUUGGCUCCCAAUUUUUAAAUUCAGACCUCCAAACAAUGUUUUAAGGCCCAUUUGAGCUUAGAGUUUUGUUUGUAAUGAUUUAGUAUUGCUCAAAUUAAUGAAAUACUUGUUUUUAACUCUAGUUUAAAUGUGAAUUGAAUGUACGAGUGAUUUAUCAAUUGGGGCAUCAAAGUGACCCAUGUGGUACUCUUUAUCCAAACAGGCCUUCAAUCUGGGUAAGGGUUGCUAUGUAAUAGGAG
rnacentral:lncRNA from 1 species